ACAUAAAUACACUAGUACAUAUUGUUUUCCUCCCACUUUCACAGGAACACGAACCGACGAAGGCAUAUGAUGACUUCUUGGCUUAUGUAAAAACAGAAAUAAUAGAAAAUAAAAAGUUAGUAGACAUUACCCAAAAAAUAGAAGAAAUGGAUGAAUAUGUUUUGUUUUACACCAAAGGAAUAAUAACAAGUGUAUUAUCCAUGAUAAAAGAAAAAUACUGUGAUAUAUUUGUAAUAAAAUAUUAUGACUUAUUUAUUGAAAAUUAUAUUAAGACAGUUGAUUUUUUAAAUAAUGUAAAAAAAAAUAAAAAACCAUAUGAACAAUUCAUGCUUAAUAAAGUUAUUAAUAAAUUUUUAAGUACUUUUCAAACAGAUUUAUAUGUCAAAUAUAUAUUAAAUGUUAUAGAUACGAAAAUAAAUGAAAAAAAUCAAAAUAUUAUUAUUUUCGAUAAAAAGUAUGUAUUCUAUGAUAAUUUUUUUUUGGCUUAAAGAAACCAUAAAUUUAAUUAAAAUAUUUAAAUUAAUAUUUAAUAAUAGUCAUUAUAUACAAACUGCUUUAACUACUUAUCUUACUUUUAUAUAUAAACAUGUUAAAAUUUAUUUAAAAAAUAUAAAAUCGUUUUUAAUGUUUUUAGAAGAUAAUAAUAGUAACAACAAUAAUAUAAACAAAAUAAAUCAAAUAAAUAAAAAUGAAUUUAACUGGAGUCCUACUUUAAGUUACAAUAGUAUCGGUUUUAUCUUAUCAGAAUUUUUAUCAUUACUUCAAAUUUUAAAAACAAAAUAUAAAAUAACAAAUUUUAUUAACAAAGAUAAUAACCAGUUUAUAGUACCUCAAGAUUUGGGACAUAUACCUACAUGGAUUUUUAACAAAUUAUUGGGUUCUUCAGAGCAUUAUUAUUAUGAGUAUUUACAUACAGAAUGUAAUAAAAAAUUACAAGGAACAGAGAAUAAACAAAACAAAAUAUAUAAUGCGUCCGAUUACAUAACUGAUAAAAAUAACAAUACUAACAUUGACAAUGAUGAUAAAACACAUAAUCAUGUAGAUGAUAAUAUGACUAGUGAUGAUACCACAUGCUACAGUAGCAGCAGUAGUAGUAGUAGCAGCGAUACCGAAAAUGAUGAAAUUUCGAUUUAUUUGUAUAAUAACAGUGACAACCACAGUGACUAUAGAAAAUACAAAGAUAAUAACCACAAUGUCAAUCCUAAUGAAGACAACAACAACGAUAUAGAUAGAGAUAGAGACAGAGAUAAAGAUAAAGAUAAAGAUAAAGAUAAAGAUAAAGAUAGAGAUAGAGAUAACAAUAGCGAUGACGAUAACGACAAUUGUAAUGAACAUACCAAGUUAUGUGAACAAACAAAUAAACUACAUGAAAUAGGAAAAGCUAAUAAAAAUAUGCUAAAAAAAAAAAGAAAACAAAAAAAACUAGAAUUACAUAUAUACCAAAAAGAAAACACACAAAAAAUUAUUCAUGAUAUUAAUUGUAUAAAUGGUUUUAUAAAAACAUUGUCAGAAAUAAUUAUUAAUACUCAACAAACAUUUGAAGAGUUUUUCGUUAAUAAAAUGUUUGACAUUUGUUCUGGAUUUUUAAUUUAUUUGCAUUCAUUGUUAGCUAUUUAUAAAAUGACGAACAAAAGAGUAAAAACUUGGAAAAAAAAAAAAAAAAAAAAAAAAAAAAGCAUAAUUUUUGUAGAUAUUACUUUUUUUUAUUAUUAUUUUUUUAUUAUUAUUAUUUUAUUUUUUUUUUUUUCUGUAUAUACCUUUCACAUAUAUACAUUUUUAUAGGACUCAUAUAGUCAACUAUAAUAUAUAUAUAUUUUAUACCCGCUUUA
ensembl:lncRNA